CACGUAGGGGGCGAGCGUUGUCCGGAUUUAUUGGGCGUAAAGAGCUCGUAGGCGGCUCAGUAAGUCGGGUGUGAAAACUCCAGGCUCAACCUGGAGACGCCACCUGAUACUGCUGUGGCUAGAGUCCGGUAGGGGAGCAUGGAAUUCCUGGUGUAGCGGUGAAAUGCGCAGAUAUCAGGAGGAACACCGGUGGCGAAGGCGGCUCGCUGGGACGGUAACUGACGCUGAGGUGCGAAAGCGUGGGGAGCAAACAGGA
rnacentral:rRNA from 1 species